rnacentral:ncRNA from 1 species
UGUUGCUACCCUGGUAAUCCUGCUCAGUAGGAGAGGAACCACAGGUUCAGACACUUGGUGUAUGUGCCUGGCUGAGGAGCCAGUGGGGUAAAGCUAAGUCUGUGGGGUUAUGACUGAAGGACUCUAAGUCAGAAUCCUGCCCAGGAGGAAGGAUAUCGCAGCACCACAGAGCCUUUGGUGGCCUCCCAUAGCCAGUCCUCCGCUGCCCCCGUGCCAAGAACUGGGGUCUGGUGCAGAGAGCCCCUUGUCCUGGGAAACGGGCUGCUGCCAGAAAGGCGGUCACCCCCGGACCCAUCACAUAACGUGAGGAACCUGAUGCUAAACUACUCAUAGACGCCCUGCUUCUGGGUCAGGGUUUUCUAUGGAGCAGAGCAGCUUCCUGGCUGCAUCUAUUGAAAGUCAGACUUCCACACAAGGGUCU